AUUGAACGCUGGCGGCAUGCCUUACACAUGCAAAUCGAACGGUAACGGGCCUUCGGGUGCCGACGAGUGGCGAACGGGUGAGUAAUACAUCGGAACGUGCCCGAUCGUGGGGGAUAACGAGGCGAAAGCUUUGCUAAUACCGCAUACGAUCUACGGAUGAAAGCAGGGAACCGCAAGGCCUUGCGCGGACGGAGCGGCCGAUGGCAGAUUAGGUAGUUGGUGGGAUAAAAGCUUACCAAGCCGACGAUCUGUAGCUGGUCUGAGAGGAUGAUCAGCCACACUGGGACUGAGACACGGCCCAGACUCCUACGGGAGGCAGCAGUGGGGAAUUUUGGACAAUGGGCGCAAGCCUGAUCCAGCCAUGCCGCGUGCAGGAUGAAGGCCUUCGGGUUGUAAACUGAUUUUGUACGGAACGAAAAGCCUUCUUUUAAUACAGGAGGGUCAUGACGGUACCGUAAGAAUAAGCACCGGCUAACUACGUG
rnacentral:rRNA from 1 species